GACGAACGCUGGCGGCGCGCCUAACACAUGCAAGUCGAGCGAGAACCGGAGCUUCGGCUCCGGGGACAGCGGCGAACGGGUGAGUAACACGUGGAUAACCUGCCCUCGGCACCGGAAUAGCCCGGGGAAACCCGGAUUAAUGCCGGAUAGCCCCACAUCCCUGCGGGGAACGUGGGAAAAGGUAGCUUCGGCCUCUGGCCGAGGAUGGGUCCGCGGUGGAUUAGCUUGUUGGUGCGGGUAAUGGCCCACCAAGGCGACGAUCCAUAGCUGGUCUGAGAGGACGAUCAGCCACACUGGGACUGAGACACGGCCCAGACUCCUACGGGAGGCAGCAGUGGGGAAUCUUAGACAAUGGGGGCAACCCUGAUCUAGCCAUGCCGCGUGAGUGAUGAAGGCCUUAGGGUUGUAAAGCUCUUUCAGCUGGGAAGAUAAUGACGGUACCAGCAGAAGAAGCCCCGGCUAACUCCGUGCCAGCCGCCGCAGUAACAC
rnacentral:rRNA from 1 species